rnacentral:rRNA from 1 species
AUUGAACGCUGGCGGCAGGCCUAACACAUGCAAGUCGAACGAGUGGCAGACGGGUGAGUAAUGUCUGGGAAACUGCCCGAUGGAGGGGGAUAACUACUGGAAACGGUAGCUAAUACCGCAUACCAUCGGAUGUGCCCAGAGGGGAUUAGCUAGUAGGUGGGGUAACGGCUGACCUAGGCGACGAUCCCUAGCUGGUCUGAGAGGAGGACCAGCCACACUGGAACCGAGACACGGGCCAUACUCCUACGGGUGGCAGCAGUGGGGAAUAUUGCACAAUGGGCGCAAGCCUGAUGCAGCCAUGCCGCGUGUAUGAAGAAGGCCUUCGGGUUGUAAAGUACUUUCAGCGGGGAGGCGGUACCCGCAGAAGAAGCACCGGCUAACUCCGUGCCAGCAGCCGCGGUAAUUC